AGAGAGAGACAUGCGCGCAUAUCAAUAAGCGGAGGAAAAGAAACUAACAAGGAUUCCCUUAGUAACGGCGAGUGAAGCGGGAAGAGCUCAAAUUUGAAAUCUUCAAGGUUUUACCUUGACGAAUUGUAGUUUAAAGAAGUGUUUUCUGCUGAAGUUUUGGUAAAAGUUCUUUGGAAUAGGACAUCAUAGAGGGUGAGAAUCCCGUAUUUGACCAUUAUUUCAGCUUUGUGAUACACUUUCAAAGAGUCGGAUUGUUUGGGAAUGCAGUCCAAAAUGGGUGGUAAAUUUCAUCUAAAGCUAAAUAUUCGGCGAGAGACCGAUAGCGAACAAGUACCGUGAGGGAAAGAUGAAAAGAACUUUGAAAAGAGAGUUAAACAGUACGUGAAAUUGUCAAAAGGGAAGCGUUUGACACCAGUGUUGUUUUCUCGAAAAUCAAUUAAAAAUGGCUCGAUUUUGUAUUGCUUGAGACCUUAAAAGCUCACUGUACAUUUUUCGUGUCCUUUUUAAUGCACUUUUCGUUUAACAAGUCAACAUCAGUUUCUUUUGUUGUAAAAGGGUCACUGGAAGGUGGCUUUCUUUUCGGAGAAAGUGUUUAUAGCCUUUGGCCUCUGCAAUCGGAGAGACUGAGGUCUGCAGCGUAGACUCUUCGGGGUUAGAUACAUUUGUGCUAAGUUAUAGCUUUUUAUAGACAACUUGUUGACUAUAAUUAGUCUUGUAGCUUACUCGCUUAUGCUAUUUUACCUACGCUUAGGAUGUUGAAGAUGUAGCACAUCAU
rnacentral:rRNA from 1 species